rfam:Chlorocebus sabaeus isolate 1994-021 chromosome 2, whole genome shotgun sequence.
UGAUGUGAGGGCAAUCUGGCUGUGGCAUCUUUCACCCCAUUGAUCACCAAGGUUGAUUCAGCUGACCUGACUGGCUAGAUGGGUGUCCCCUUCCUCCCUCACCGUUCCAUGUGCGUCCCUCCCGAAGUUGCAUGCUCAGUUGAAGAGGAUGACUAUCCCCGAUAGAGGAGGACCGGUCUUAGUCAAGGGCAUACGAGUAGCUGCACUCCCCUGCUAGAACCUCCAAACAAGCUAGCUAGCUAGCUAGCUAGCUAGCUAUCUAGCUAGCUAUCUAUCUAUCUAUCUAUCUAUCUAUCUAAU